GCCCCGCCCGCUUGGCGCGCGCCCCCGCCAGGUCCGCUCUCUUCCCCAACCCCUGGCGCGGACGGGGUGGUUCCAGCUCACUCUCCUCCCCCGAGCGGCAGCGGCGGCGGCGGCUGCUGCGGGCGCUGAAUGAGAGACGGUGACUGUUCGGGUCGGCGAGUGCUACUCCAGGCGGCGGCGGCGGCCGUGGCGGUGAAGCGUGAGGCCGGCGUCGUCUUUCCAUCCUCUGAGGCGACGGCCGCGGCUGCACAGGAAUAAUGUAUUUGUGGCCUUGGACAUGAGGCAAUCAGUCCUCUGUUGCUGUUAACAUAAGGUCAGGGACUGAUGAGGAAAGCAUGGACCUAAUGAACGGGCAGGCAAGCAGUGUCAAUAUUGCAGCUACUGCUUCUGAGAAAAGUAGCAGCUCUGAAUCCUUAAGUGACAAAGGCUCUGAAUUGAAGAAAAGCUUUGAUGCUGUGGUAUUCGAUGUUCUUAAGGUUACACCAGAAGAAUAUGCGGGUCAGAUAACAUUAAUGGAUGUUCCAGUAUUUAAAGCUAUUCAACCAGAUGAGCUUUCAAGUUGUGGAUGGAAUAAAAAAGAAAAAUAUAGUUCUGCACCAAAUGCAGUUGCCUUCACAAGAAGAUUCAAUCAUGUAAGCUUUUGGGUUGUUAGAGAGAUUCUUCAUGCUCAAACAUUAAAAAUUAGAGCAGAAGUUUUGAGCCACUAUAUUAAAACUGCUAAGAAACUGUAUGAGCUGAAUAACCUUCAUGCACUUAUGGCAGUGGUUUCUGGCCUACAGAGUGCCCCAAUUUUCAGGUUGACUAAAACAUGGGCGUUAUUAAGUCGAAAAGACAAAACUACCUUUGAAAAAUUAGAAUAUGUAAUGAGUAAAGAAGAUAACUACAAAAGACUCAGAGACUAUAUAAGUAGCUUAAAGAUGACACCUUGCAUUCCCUAUUUAGGUAUCUAUUUGUCAGAUUUAACAUACAUCGAUUCAGCAUACCCAUCAACUGGAAGCAUUCUAGAAAAUGAGCAAAGAUCAAAUUUAAUGAAUAAUAUCCUUCGAAUAAUUUCUGAUUUACAACAAUCUUGUGAAUAUGAUAUUCCCAUGUUGCCUCAUGUCCAAAAAUAUCUGAACUCCGUUCAGUAUAUAGAAGAACUACAAAAAUUUGUGGAAGACGAUAAUUACAAGUAGGUUGGAUCUUCAAAAGUGGUUUGUAUGACUUUGUCCUGUCCUCCACCUUUCUAUCCCUAUGUAUUUAAACAUCUAAAUCCUACAUGGUGUCAUACAAAGGACUAAUCCAGUGGUAGGUUUACAGCAGUAAAGGUACUAACAUGUAUUACUUCUUAAUGACUUGUUAUGAUUGAGCCAAUAUACAAAUACCUCAUCUGUUCUUUUUAAUAUUUUAUCUCUCUGUUUGUAGAGAGCUAACGUUUGAUAGUUCUAAUUUAAAUUUCUUCCUUUCCCCCAUAUUCAAUCAUUGAAUCCUUACAGAAUUUGUCUUUUAAUAGAAAAAUUAAUGAAACUUUUUAAAAUAGAAAAAUUACUCUUCUUUAAUGCUAAUUAUUGACACAUCGUUGUUUGUUUUUCAUUGUUUUUGCGGAUUGAGAGACUACUGGUCCAUCUUGUCUGAGGAGAAGAGACCUUCCUCCAAUGUAGCACACUUAUCCUUUUCCCUGUAUUAUAGCAAGUUCUUUAUUAAAGAUUUUUGAGGCCGGGCACAGUGGCUCACGCCUGUAACCCCAGCACUUUGGGAGGCCGAGGUGGGUGGAUCACUUGAGGUCAGGAGUUCAAGACCAGCCUGACCAAUAUAGUGAAACACUGUCUGUACUAAAAAUACAGAAUUAGCCGGGCAUGGUGCAUGCCUGUAAUCCCAGCUGCUUGGGAGGCUGAGGCAGGAGAAUCACUUGAACACAGGAGGCAGAGGUUGCAGUGAGCCGAGAGUGCACCAUUACACUCCAGCCUGGGCAAAAAGAGCAAAACUCCAUCU
rnacentral:sRNA from 1 species